UACGUAGGGGGCAAGCGUUGUCCGGAUUUAUUGGGCGUAAAGAGCGUGUAGGCGGUCAGGUAGGUCCGUUGUGAAAACUCGAGGCUCAACCUCGAGACGCCGAUGGAAACCAUCUGACUAGAGUCCGGAAGAGGAGAGUGGAAUUCCUGGUGUAGCGGUGAAAUGCGCAGAUAUCAGGAAGAACACCCGUGGCUAAGGCGGCUCUCUAGGACGGUACUGACGCUGAGACGCGAAAGCGUGGGGAGCAAACAGG
rnacentral:rRNA from 1 species